GACCAUGAUAAUGUAUAGGAUUACCAGUGCCAAAUGGGACAUAAGACCUCCCUGAUGAUGAGGUGUGCAUCUGUGGCUGUGAAAAAAGUCAACCAGGAAUAUCAUCAGGAUUUAUUGGCGUCCUAGAUUUUUUUUAGUAGCUGACUUUGAAUUCUUAUCAGGACCAGCCCGAUCACCGCUAUCACCGGAUGCCAUCUGUAGGCAAGAUUACAUUAAGCUACUUGCUGCUGAAAAGACUACUGCAGAAAUAAAAAAUUCUGAUUUUUUAAAGUAGCAGACAAGUGAAUAAUUCUCUUUUUCAGGUUUGUAAGCUAUGCUUGAGUUUUCUUUAAGAAACAACUUAGCUUACAAUAUGUGGAGCACAUAGGUGACAGGAAAUAUGUGGUCAAUAUCGACAUAGGUGACAAACACAAAACAUAGAUGCAUAUAAACAAGAAACCAU
rnacentral:lncRNA from 1 species